AUACUUACCUGGCAGGGGAGAUACCAUGAUCAAGAAGGUGGUUUUCCCAGGGCGAGGCUAAUCCAUUGCACUCCGGAUAUGCUGACCCCUGUGAUUUCCCCAAAUGUGGGAAACUCGGCUGUACAAUUUGUGGUAGUGGGGGAAAAAAAAUCACUCA
rnacentral:snRNA from 1 species